rnacentral:rRNA from 1 species
GACGAACGCUGGCGGCGUGCCUAAUACAUGCAAGUCGAGCGAAGUCUUUCUGGUGCUUGCACUAGAAAAAUUUAGCGGCGAACGGGUGUGUAACACGUAAAGAACCUGCCUCAUAGACGGGGACAAUUAUUGGAAACGAUCGAUAAUACCGUAUAACAGUAUUUCUCGUAUGUGAGAUAUUUAAAAAUUGGUUAUGCUAACAUUAUGAGAUGGCUUUGCGGUGCAUUAGCUAGUUGGUGGGGUAAAGGCCCACCAAGGCGACGAUGCAUAGCCGACCUGAGAGGGUGAUCGGCCACACUGGGACUGAGACACGGCCCAGACUCCUACGGGAGGCAGCAGUAGGGAAUCUUCCGCAAUGGGCGAAAGCCUGACGGAGCAACGCCGCGUGAGUGAAGAAGGAUUUCGGUUCGUAAAGCUCUGUUGUUAGGGAAGAAUGAGUAUGUAAUAAAUAUACAUGUAAGAGACGGUACCUAACCAGAAAGCCACGGCUAACUACGUG